GAUCCUGGCUCAGAUUGAACGCUGGCGGCAGGCCUAACACAUGCAAGUCGAGCGGAUGAAGAGAGCUUGCUCUUUGAUUCAGCGGCGGACGGGUGAGUAAUGCCCUAGGAAUCUGCCCUGGAUAGUGGGGGACAACGUUUCGAAAGGGGCGCUAAUACCGCAUACGUCCUACGGGAGAAAGCAGGGGGACCCGUUCGGGCCGUUGCGCUAUCAGAUGAGGCCUAGGGUCGGAUUAGCUAGUUGGUGG
rnacentral:rRNA from 1 species